UGGCAGAGUGAGGGAAGGAAGGGAUGACUGGUGAAAGAGUGAGAGAGGGGGUGACUAGUGACAGAGUGAGAGAGGGGGUGACUGUCACUAGUCACCCCAUCCCUCUCUCUGUCACUAGUCACUCCCUCCCUAACUCUGUCACUAGUCACUCCCUCCCUAACUCUGUCACUAGUCACCCCCUCUCUCACUCUGUCACUAGUCACCCCCUCUCUCACUCUGUCACUA